rnacentral:tRNA from 1 species
UAGCCUAGUGGUUAAGGCUAUGGAUCGCCAAUCCAGAGACGGCGGGUUCGAUUCCCUU